CGGGGAGUAGCUCAGCCUGGUAGAGCACCACGUUCGGGACGUGGGGGCCGGAGGUUCGAAUCCUCUCUUCCCGACCA
rnacentral:tRNA from 2 species